UACAGAGGGUGCAAGCGUUAAUCGGAAUUACUGGGCGUAAAGCGCGCGUAGGUGGUUUGUUAAGUUGGAUGUGAAAUCCCCGGGCUCAACCUGGGAACUGCAUUCAAAACUGACAAGCUAGAGUAUGGUAGAGGGUGGUGGAAUUUCCUGUGUAGCGGUGAAAUGCGUAGAUAUAGGGAGGAACACCAGUGGCGAAGGCGACCACCUGGACUGAUACUGACACUGAGGUGCGAAAGCGUGGGGAGCAAACAGG
rnacentral:rRNA from 1 species